GACGUAGGUGGCGAACAUUAUCCGGAAUUAUUGGGCGUAAAGAGCUCGUAGGCGGUUUGUCGCGUCUGCUGUGAAAACCUAAGGCUCAACCUUGGGCUUGCAGUGGGUACGGGCAGACUAGAGUGCGGUAGGGGUGACUGGAAUUCCUGGUGUAGCGGUGGAAUGCGCAGAUAUCAGGAGGAACACCGAUGGCGAAGGCAGGUCACUGGGCCGCAACUGACGCUGAGGAGCGAAAGCAUGGGGAGCGAACAGG
rnacentral:rRNA from 1 species